CUAGAGACCGGCGCACGGGUGCGUAACGCGUAUGCAAUCUACCUUUCACAAAGGGAUAGCCCAGAGAAAUUUGGAUUAAUACCUUAUAGUAUAACGACUUCGCAUGGAGCUGUUAUUAAAGAUUUAUCGGUGAAAGAUGAGCAUGCGUCCCAUUAGCUAGUUGGUAAGGUAACGGCUUACCAAGGCUACGAUGGGUAGGGGUCCUGAGAGGGAGAUCCCCCACACUGGUACUGAGACACGGACCAGACUCCUACGGGAGGCAGCAGUGAGGAAUAUUGGUCAAUGGGCGCAAGCCUGAACCAGCCAUGCCGCGUGCAGGAUGACGGUCCUAUGGAUUGUAAACUGCUUUUGUACAGGAAGAAACACUCCCUCGUGAGGGAGCUUGACGGUACUGUAAGAAUAAGGAUCGGCUAACUCCGUGCCAGCAGCCGCGGUAAUACGGAGGAUCCAAGCGUUAUCCGGAAUCAUUGGGUUUAAAGGGUCCGUAGGCGGCUUAAUAAGUCAGUGGUG
rnacentral:rRNA from 1 species